rnacentral:rRNA from 1 species
AAAUUGAAGAGUUUGAUCAUGGCUCAGAUUGAACGCUGGCGGCAGGCCUAACACAUGCAAGUCGAACGGUAACAGRAARCAGCUUGCUGYUUYGCUGACGAGUGGCGGACGGGUGAGUAAUGUCUGGGAAACUGCCUGAUGGAGGGGGAUAACUACUGGAAACGGUAGCUAAUACCGCAUAAYGUCGCAAGACCAAAGAGGGGGACCUUCGGGCCUCUUGCCAUCGGAUGUGCCCAGAUGGGAUUAGCUUGUUGGUGGGGUAACGGCUCACCAAGGCGACGAUCCCUAGCUGGUCUGAGAGGAUGACCAGCCACACUGGAACUGAGACACGGUCCAGACUCCUACGGGAGGCAGCAGUGGGGAAUAUUGCACAAUGGGCGCAAGCCUGAUGCAGCC